rnacentral:lncRNA from 1 species
GGAAAGAUAAGAAUAUUAUAAUCAGUUAGAAUAACAAGAAAAAAACCAAUACAGAUUGCACAAAGAAGCAGAACGAUGCUGAAUGUCACACCCUGUUCAUCGUUCCCACUAUACUAUGAGAAGGACUCCUGAACAAUCUUGUUCCUGAUCCUUAAUCUCGAACACAUGAUAUGUUAAUAGUGAUAAUGACCUUGAAGGCUAGUCUGAUUUCAGGUUCAGAACCAAUUUAAUUAAUUUUUUUGUGGUUUCUAAUGGGUGGUAAUAAAAAUAGUUUAGUUGCUUUGUGGGGUGGUUCAUUUAGCAAACAUGUCCAAGAGUUGUAUAUUGUUAAAGAAGCUAUUAUGUGGAUCUUUUGACGGUGUAGUAAUAAGUCUAUUGUGUGAUCUAAUUUGAGGUGUGGUAAAAAUCGUUUGUUUAGUAGUUUAUGUGAUAAUAAUCGAUUAUGAGUGUGUUUUUCAGCUU